GACGUAGGGCGCGAGCGUUGUCCGGAUUUAUUGGGCGUAAAGAGCUCGUAGGCGGCUUGUUGCGUCGACUGUGAAAACCCGCGGCUUAACUGCGGGCUUGCAGUUGAUACGGGCAGGCUAGAGUUCGGUAGGGGAGACUGGAAUUCCUGGUGUAGCGGUGAAAUGCGCAGAGUAUCAGGAGGAACACCGGUGGCGAAGGCGGGUCUCUGGGCCGGCCCUGACACGUGAGACGCGGAAG
rnacentral:rRNA from 1 species